rnacentral:misc_RNA from 1 species
GUCGUAACAAGGUUUCCGUAGGUGAACCUGCGGAAGGAUCAUUACCACACCAAACAACCCUUGACGGAUUGCUCGGGCAACCGGGCUUUUCGUUUCUACCUGUGAACCGUGAGCUUGUGAAUGGGGAUUCGUCUUCGGUCCAAGCUUGCCAGCCUCCUUGUUGAAACCACCCUCGUGGUGUUUUGACCUGGAGGACGAAUGUGUCGAGCAUUCAUUUCUCAACUGUUUUUAAGCCGAUUGGCUUUCAAACUCCAACUCAACCGCUCAACUGAAACGGGUGUGUUCCCUUUCUUCACAGGAAGGACACACGACACAAAGCAGAUAAUGCUUUAACACUUUCAGCAACGGAUGUCUUGGCUCCCA